rnacentral:rRNA from 1 species
CCUACGGGUGGCUGCAGUGGGGAAUCUUGCGCAAUGGGGGAAACCCUGACGCAGCGACGCCGCGUGGGCGACGAAGGCCUUCGGGUUGUAAAGCCCUGUGGAGGGAGACGAACGAACGUGAGAGGAAAUGCUCGCGGUUUGACGGUAUCCCUUUAGCAAGCACCGGCUAACUCUGUGCCAGCAGCCGCGGUAAUACAGAGGGUGCAAACGUUGCUCGGAAUUACUGGGCGUAAAGCGCGUGUAGGCGGUUUCGCGAGUCCGAUGUGAAAGCCCGG